UACAGAGGGUGCGAGCGUUAAUCGGAAUUACUGGGCGUAAAGCGUGCGUAGACGGUUACGUAAGUCGGAUGUGAAAUCCCCGGGCUCAACCUGGGAAUUGCAUUCGAGACUGUGUAGCUGGGGUGCGGAAGAGGGAAGCGGAAUUUCCGGUGUAGCGGUGAAAUGCGUAGAUAUCGGAAGGAACAUCAGUGGCGAAAGCGGCUUCCUGGUCCGACACCGACGUUCAGGCACGAAAGCGUGGGGAGCAAACAGG
rnacentral:rRNA from 1 species